UGACCUGGCGGCGUGCUAUAAUGCAAGUCGAGCGGACAGAUGGGAGCUUGCUCCCUGAUGUUAGCGGCGGACGGGUGAGUAACACGUGGGUAACCUGCCUGUAAGACUGGGAUAACUCCGGGAAACCGGGGCUAAUACCGGAUGGUUGUUUGAACCGCAUGGUUCAGACAUAAAAGGUGGCUUCGGCUACCACUUACAGAUGGACCCGCGGCGCAUUAGCUAGUUGGUGAGGUAACGGCUCACCAAGGCGACGAUGCGUAGCCGACCUGAGAGGGUGAUCGGCCACACUGGGACUGAGACACGGCCCAGACUCCUACGGGAGGCAGCAGUAGGGAAUCUUCCGCAAUGGACGAAAGUCUGACGGAGCAACGCCGCGUGAGUGAUGAAGGUUUUCGGAUCGUAAAGCUCUGUUGUUAGGGAAGAACAAGUGCCGUUCAAAUAGGGCGGCACCUUGACGGUACCUAACCAGAAAGCCACGGCUAACUACGUGCCAGCAGCCGCGGUAAUACGUAGGUGGCAAGCGUUGUCCGGAAUUAUUGGGCGUAAAGGGCUCGCAGGCGGUUUCUUAAGUCUGAUGUGAAAGCCCCCGGCUCAACCGGGGAGGGUCAUUGGAAACUGGGGAACUUGAGUGCAGAAGAGGAGAGUGGAAUUCCACGUGUAGCGGUGAAAUGCGUAGAGAUGUGGAGGAACACCAGUGGCGAAGGCGACUCUCUGGUCUGUAACUGACGCUGAGGAGCGAAAGCGUGGGGAGCGAACAGGAUUAGAUACCCUGGUAGUCCACGCCGUAAACGAUGAGUGCUAAGUGUUAGGGGGUUUCCGCCCCUUAGUGCUGCAGCUAACGCAUUAAGCACUCCGCCUGGGGAGUACGGUCGCAGGACUGAAACUCAAAGAAAUUGACGGGGCCCGCACAAGCGUGGAAGCAUGUGGUUUAAAUUCGAAGCUACGCGAGAUUUACAAGUCUGACGAUCUCUGUACAAUCCUAGAAGAAUAGGACGUCGCCCCUCUCGGAAGC
rnacentral:rRNA from 1 species